AGUGAACGCUGGCGGUAGGCCUAACACAUGCAAGUCGAACGGCAGCACAGUAAGAGCUUGCUCUUACGGGUGGCGAGUGGAGGACGGGUGAGGAAUACAUCGGAAUCUACUUUUUCGUGGGGGAUAACGUAGGGAAACUUACGCUAAUACCGCAUACGACCUACGGGUGAAAGCAGGGGAUCUUCGGACCUUGCGCGAUUGAAUGAGCCGAUGUCGGAUUAGCUAGUUGGCGGGGUAAAGGCCCACCCAGGCGACGAUCCGUAGCUGGUCUGAGAGGAUGAUCAGCCACACUGGAACUGAGACACGGUCCAGACUCCUACGGGAGGCAGCAGUGGGGAAUAUUGGACAAUGGGCGCAAGCCUGAUCCAGCCAUACCGCGUGGGUGAAGAAGGCCUUCGGGUUGUAAAGCCCUUUUGUUGGGAAAGAAAAGCAGCAGGUUAAUACCCCGCUGUUCUGACGGUACCCAAAGAAUAAGCACCGGCUAACUUCGUG
rnacentral:rRNA from 1 species